rnacentral:rRNA from 1 species
CCUACGGGGGGCUGCAGUGGGGAAUAUUGGACAAUGGGCGAAAGCCUGAUCCAGCCAUGCCGCGUGUGUGAAGAAGGCCUUCGGGUUGUAAAGCACUUUCAGUGGGGAAGAAAGCCUUGGGGCUAAUACCCUCGAGGAAGGACAUCACCCACAGAAGAAGCACCGGCUAACUCCGUGCCAGCAGCCGCGGUAAUACGGAGGGUGCGAGCGUUAAUCGGAAUUACUGGGCGUAAAGCGCGCGUAGGCGGUCUGAUAAGCCGGUUGUGAAAGCCCCGGGCUCAACCUGGGAACGGCAUCCGGAACUGUCAGGCUAGAGUGCAGGAGAGGAAGGUAGAAUUCCCGGUGUAGCGGUGAAAUGCGUAGAGAUCGGGAGGAAUACCUGUGGCGAAGGCGGCCUUCUGGACUGACACUGACGCUGAGGUGCGAAAGCGUGGGUAGCAAACAGGAUUAGAUACCCGCGUAGUC